rnacentral:rRNA from 1 species
AUACGUAAGUCCCAAGCAUUACCCGGAAUCACUGGGUGUAAAGGGUUCGUAGGUGGAAGAAUAAGUUGGAUAUGAAAGACCGAAGCUCAACUUCGCGUUUGUGUUCAAAACUGUUUUUCUAGAAUCAGGGAGAGGUAAGCGGAAUUUUAAGUGUAGGGGUGCAAUCCGUAGAUACUUAAAAGAACACCAAAAGCGAAGGCAGCUUACUGGAACUGUAUUGACACUGAGGAACGAAAGCGUGGGUAGCGAAAAGGAUUAGAAACCCUAGUAGUCC